rnacentral:rRNA from 1 species
UUUUUGAUUUUAAUAUAAAGUCUAACCUGCCCACUGAGAAUUUUAAAUGGCCGCAGUAUUUUGACUGUGCAAAGGUAGCAUAAUCAUUAGUUUUUUAAUUAAGAACUGGAAUGAAAGGUUGGACGAGAAAAUAACUGUCUCUUUAUAAAUUAUUUAGAAUUUUAUUUUUAAGUUAAAAAGCUUAAAUUUUAUUAAAAGACGAGAAGACCCUAUAGAGUUUAAUAUAAAAAUUAAUAGAUAAUUAUAAUUGAAUUAUUUUAAUGUUAUUAAUUAUUAUAUUUAAUUGGGGUGAUUAAAAAAUUUAUUUAACUUUUUUUUUAUAAAAACAUUUAUUUAUGAGUGAUUGAUCCAUAUUUUAUGAUUAUAAGAUUAAAUUACCUUAGGGAUAACAGCGUUAUUUCUUUUAAGAGUUCUAAUCGAUAAAGAAGUUUGCGACCUCGAUGUUGGAUUAAAAUAAAUUUUUGGUGUAGAAGCUAAAAGAUUAGGUCUGUUCGACCUUUAAAAUUUUACAUGAUCUGAGUUUAAACCGGUGUGAGCCAGGUUGGUUUCUAUCUUUAAUGAAUAUUUAUAAUAUUUUAGUACGAAAGGACCAAAUAUUAGUAAAAAUUAUUAUUUUUUGAAUAUUAAU